rnacentral:lncRNA from 1 species
GUUUUUUUCUUUCCUAAAUGUUAUCAUUUUUCUAUUUAAAUGCCUGUAAUUUUCACUUAGAGUUGUUUAGAAGCCUGGCUUAUUUUCAAUUUUGCCUCUAGAUUUUUUAGUGCUUGUGGACUUGGGUGUUUCUCGGCUUGGAAGUACUAUGAUAUAGUGGUUAGUUAUGUAGAUUCCAAGAUAAGAUUUCCUGUGCAUUUGAAUCCUGAUUCUACCACUUACUAGCCAUAAGACCAUGACCAAGGCAUUCAAUUUCUCUAUUCCUCAUUUGCUCAUCUGUAAAAUGGAUUUAAUAAUAGUGUUGAUUUCAUUUGUACAUUGAAGGAUUAAAUGGGAAAAUGGAUAUAAAGUAUCUGUUUCAUUAAAUGUUAGUUAUUGAUUUUCAUUUUCUUUGACAGUUUUUAAGGGUCCUCUGUUCAUUUUUUCCAACAUUUUUUCUUUCCAUAUUUUAUUUUGUAUAAUUUAUAUUGAUGUGUCUUCAUGUUCAGUAAUCUCUUCUUCUAUAAUGUUAAGUGUGCUAUUAAUCUCCUCCAGUGGAAAUUUUAUUUAUGUAUGUGUGUGCAUGUAUGUGUAUGUGUGUGUGUAUGUAUGUGUAUAUAUGUACAUUCCAUGUGUCUACUUAACAUACCUAAUCUUUCUUCCUUCUUGAAGUCAUAAUAACUAUUUUAAUGUCCUUUUGCUGCUAAUUUUACAUUGUAUCAUUUCUAGAACAGUUUCAACUGAUUGAUAUUUUUCUCCCUUUAUUAUGGGUUAUAUUUUCAGACUUUGUACACCUAUUAAUUUUUGGUUGGAUACCAGGCAUUCUGAAUUUUACCUUUUUGGAUACUUCACAUUUUUAUAUUCUUUU